GCUUGCGCAACAACUUCCACCUGGCUUACCUCUUCAGUUAUUCAUCUUGGCUUGUUUUGCCAAGGUGGAAUGUGGGUUUCUUGUAUUGCCUGCCUAAGCAAUGGUAUUGUCACGAUCGAUCAUUGUAUCUUUCAUCUUGUGUCAUACUAAUGACAUUAGAUGAACCACAAAGCUGUCUCUUUGAACCACACCAUUAGAUUUGGAUGUUGUGGCACAUUGAGCUUUGCUUGGUAUCUUGGAUAUGGAACCUGAUGUUGGCAUGGGGUCUGUUAAGAUCCUUGUUCUGCCCUCAUUAAGCGUUCUCGCUUCUGUAAAAAUGACUUCUUGCUGCGCAUUGGCUCGUACCAGUGUGGUGAGUUAAGUCAAAGAGGAAUGC
rnacentral:misc_RNA from 1 species